UACAUGCUCUCUCUCCUUUUUUUUUUCUUUUUUCAGGAUUCAUAAGGCCAAGGACCCUGCAAAAGUUUCCUUUCGUGUGCACUCAUUGGGAUACCUAUUUUGCCAAGUGCUGACUCCUAUUUUUUUCCGAGCGAUCAGCUGUCUCUUUUUUGCUUACCUUGCUACACCUCUAUUUUUAAUACCCCGGUCACUCUUUCAAAUGCCUCGGGGAAGUAAGUCGGAGGUUCACUGGGAACAGGGAGAGGAAGAGAUUUACGGCAAUGUUUUCUGGUUUGUAUUAUUUAUGAAUUUAUUGGUGGUAUUUGUUAUCUUCCCGAUGGAUGGGGAGUUUCAAUAUUUUAACCGUCGUUGUGAUCCUUUGUUCUAAGUAGCAGGCUAAACCCGGAGUUUUAUAACGAUGGACCCUUUGCAGAGGAAUCCCCAAAACAGAACAUUAAGGUACCCAGCGCUGAGUCACUGACACGUAUAUUUCUGCCUAAAUCGUAAAGCAAAAAUCCUAGAAGCUUAGCUCAUUUGAUCAAAAUCAUAUUUGUCAAACAGCGGUUUCUCUUCUCUCAACACUCCCUGACAAUUUAUCCCGUCGCCAAGUUAGAAAUCUGAGAUGCCGCCUCAUACGCGUGAAGCUUCUUCUCGACCUGCUGGUACCCUUGCUGUGAAGAAAAUAUGCUGCGAUGUGGCAAGACACAAUCGCAGAAAAGGAAACCGACGGGAAGACGUAACCCUGGUGAGCAACCUCAGGGAAAGAGAUGCUUGCCACAACCUCCGACCUUCAUGUAGAACCCUAGCCUUAUUGGAAUAUGCUCCUAUAAAACACAAUUCAUCCCAAACAUGGCGUUUCAACCUUUUUGUUUGAUAAGUAUGAAUUUCUCCAGUUUGUGAACUAAGCUGGCACCUCUUUUAAGUCCGAUUCCUCUGUUUUUUCCAGCCUGAUUAUGCACGGAAUCUCAUUCAAAUGAACUAGAAUUUCUCUGAGCAACGUUGGGUGUAAGAGGUUCCAAACAGAAUUGGACCUUGGCUGUUAAAUGGUAUGCGAGAUGCUAUCUGUUGUCUUUGUGCUUUUAUGAUUGUACUGACUUAUCAUCUGCACUGUCAGUGACCUUCAGGAAAAGAAAUGUAGAAUACACAGAGGAAUUUUCAUUACUUGAAAAAUAGUAAGUGAAGUGAUGACAGAUGGAUAACGAAUACAUGGUUUGUGCCAAGUAACACUUUUUCCUUAAAAAUUUUUUUUCGAAGCAUCUUUAUUUCAUUGUAAACCAGAAAUUGUGACUUUUUUUUUGCCUCCUAAGUAUCUGUGUUAAUGUUAACGUGUUUGCAGUUGUAUUCCAUUCAUUUUUAAUAGGAGCAUUAAAUAAAGAUGAUUCAUUUUAGCUGGAAUUUAAAAUA
rnacentral:lncRNA from 1 species